rnacentral:pre_miRNA from 1 species
UAACUACUCCCUCCGUUCCAAAUUACUCGUCGCAGAAAUGGAUGUAUCUAGAACUAAAAUACAUCUAGAUACAUCCAUACCUGCGACAAGUAAUUCGGAACGGAGGGAGUACUAA